AUUGAACGCUGGCGGCAUGCCUUACACAUGCAAGUCGAACGGCAGCGCGGGGCAACCUGGCGGCGAGUGGCGAACGGGUGAGUAAAAUAUCGGAACAUACCCUAGAGUGGGGGAUAACGUAGCGAAAGUUACGCUAAUACCGCAUACGCACUAAGGUGGAAAGUGGGGGAUCUUCGGACCUCAUGCUCAUGGAGUGGCCGAUAUCUGAUUAGCUAGUUGGUGAGGUAAAGGCUCACCAAGGCGACGAUCAGUAGCUGGUUUGAGAGAACGACCAGCCACACUGGAACUGAGACACGGUCCAGACUCCUACGGGAGGCAGCAGUGGGGGAAUUUUUGGACAAUGGGGGGCAACCCUGAUCCAGCAAUGCCGCGUGAGUGAAG
rnacentral:rRNA from 1 species